rnacentral:lncRNA from 1 species
GCCGCCGCCGGUCUGGCCUCUCGCCUUCCGGUGAGAAACUCUUCUUUCUCCCUCCUCUUUCUUUCUUCCAUGGGGUUAACGGUGACUUCUCCAGUCUCAGAGUCAUUGUUGCUCCUUCCUCCACCUCCUGAACCGCCGCCGUCUGCUCUUCCUCUAGACCUGCUUGGUGGGAUCCCUGCCCCGACCCUCCUGAUCCUCCUGACCCUCCCGACAUGUUCGGUGAAUCAGAUCUGUCGUCUCUCCCUUGUCUCUGUUUCACACUAACAGCUGCAAGGUCUCAUCUGUUUAAUUGUACGAUAACAGCUUGCUCAGUCUGUUUGUUGCUCGUACCUCUUAGAGUGAAGCUUGUUAGGCAUCUGCUUCUCCCUACUGCCGGUUGCAGAUCUUGGAUCUAUGAUUUUGUCUGGGGAGACGAUUUCUCCAUGUUCUUGAGCUUAUUUUUGAAAGGUAUGAUUUUUGCGAUCCGUUUAAAUGAUUCUAAUUGGGAUGGAACCUACCUUAGAUUCGGAUUGCUUGCCCUCAGUUUAAAGAACCAGUCACAACAAUUACCUCAGUAUGAGGAUUUUAAGCUUCCUGUUAGUCAUUGUUUAACUCAGUAUGAAGAGUUUAGGCACUUGGUUUGCCUUACCUUACCUCAGUACGAGGUUCUUUUACCUCAGUAUGAGGUUGUUGUUCAGAAUCUCUCUUUGCCCUCAAUACAAUAUUUUUGUAUGUUGGUAGUGUUCUCUGACGUUUCAGGUAUACUACUACUCAGAAAGAUAGGAGAUGGAUUCAAAAAAGCCAACCUUGGCUCUUUACUUUCAGACUUGUUUGUCUGUCCGUGGUGGUUCUUGCAACUCCACACCCUUUUAUGGUUGAGGAUCUCCUCACAAUUCCAAGGCUCAUCAAAAAGGUGCAUGAUCACCUUUGUAGCCAAGCUUCUUGCUGCUUUCUAUGCAUUUGUUGCGGCAGCAUGUUCGGGUAGCAGCUCACCGAGUGUGGCUUCUGAUUUCCGUGGCGUCAUCUCACCGAUUAGCACUAGGGGUUCACUCUUAAGUUGCUUGUGUGUUAUGUUUGCUUAUAUCUAUGUUUAUGUUACCUGCUUUGCAUGUGAUGCAGCAGUUUCUUUAGCUAGUCUAGCUCUGUUAUAUUACUCCAUAUCCAAUAGUCGCAACAGAGAUUACAGAUAAGUAUACUGAAUCCACUAAAUCCAACUUCUCGCAGUAGUAAAGAAACAGUGUCACCAAUAUGACGCAAAAGACUACAGCGAGAAUCGCAAAACACAGCUUCCACUUUGUUUUUUAUCCUACCCUCCCCUAAUUUCAAAGGCGUUUUACGUCGAGAAGGAGAGAUGGUUUGAGAGAGCGGUCGUGGUGGUGACUUUUGGUCUAAUAUGGUGGUGGAAGCUAAGAGAAAAGUUAGAAAAUUUGGUGGUGGUUGGAGAGUUUAAACGUAACCUUCUUCUUCGUUUGGAGGUUCUGAUUUUGUGAACUGGUGGAUGUAUUACAUCUGUGUCGUGAUUGGUAUGGCGAAGAUAAGGCUGGGGAAAAUAUGCGGGUCCGAAAAAUCGAACCGAACCGGAUUCUAAAAGGUGAUAUCAACCAUGAACUGAAACUUGUCAAAUAUCCGAAUGUAUCCAAAAUUUUUAUACCUAAAGAACCAGAACCGAACCCGAUCCAAACCAAAUAUUUCAGGUAUCCAAAAGUAUUUGAAUUAUAAUUAUAUAACUUAAUAUAUUAGUUAUAUUUAGAUUUAACAUAAAAAAAUAUCUAAAAACAUUCAAACUAAUCGAGUGUAAAUAUUUGAAAAUAGCAAAAAAAAAAAUGUAUCCUUUGUCGGUUCUCUCUCCAUGAGACUCCAAGGCGAUUAGGGUUUUGAACAUUCAUUUGCCGCCGCCGGUCUGGCCUCUCGCCUUCCGGUGAGAAACUCUUCUUUCUCCCUCCUCUUUCUUUCUUCCAUGGGGUUAACGGUGACUUCUCCAGUCUCAGAGUCAUUGUUGCUCCUUCCUCCACCUCCUGAACCGCCGCCGUCUGCUCUUCCUCUAGACCUGCUUGGUGGGAUCCCUGCCCCGACCCUCCUGAUCCUCCUGACCCUCCCGACAUGUUCGGUGAAUCAGAUCUGUCGUCUCUCCCUUGUCUCUGUUUCACACUAACAGCUGCAAGGUCUCAUCUGUUUAAUUGUACGAUAACAGCUUGCUCAGUCUGUUUGUUGCUCGUACCUCUUAGAGUGAAGCUUGUUAGGCAUCUGCUUCUCCCUACUGCCGGUUGCAGAUCUUGGAUCUAUGAUUUUGUCUGGGGAGACGAUUUCUCCAUGUUCUUGAGCUUAUUUUUGAAAGGUAUGAUUUUUGCGAUCCGUUUAAAUGAU